GACGAACGCUGGCGGCGUGCUUAACACAUGCAAGUCGAACGGAAAGGCCCUGCUUUUGUGGGGUGCUCGAGUGGCGAACGGGUGAGUAACACGUGAGUAACCUGCCCUUGACUUUGGGAUAACUUCAGGAAACUGGGGCUAAUACCGGAUAGGAGCUCCUGCUGCAUGGUGGGGGUUGGAAAGUUUCGGCGGUUGGGGAUGGACUCGCGGCUUAUCAGCUUGUUGGUGGGGUAGUGGCUUACCAAGGCGUUGACGGGUAGCCGGCCUGAGAGGGUGACCGGCCACAGUGGGACUGAGAUGCGGCCCAGACUCCUACGGGAGGCAGCAGUGGGGAAUAUUGCACAAUGGGCGGAAGCAUGAUGCAGCAACGCCGCGUGCGGGAGGACGGCCUUCGGGGUGUAAACCGCUUUCGCCUGUGACGAAGCGUGAGUGACGGUAAUGGGUAAAGAAGCACCGGCUAACUACGUG
rnacentral:rRNA from 1 species